GGGGAAGCCCCUUUUUGGGGUCCCUGCGGGCUCGCGACGUGCCCCUGGCACGGCUGCGGGGUGCUGGGUGUGACCGAGCGCCGGCCUUUUGGCUGAGAGCCAGCUCGGGGGGCUCCUGGCCUCGUCCCUCGUCCCGCGGCGGGGGCUCGGGGCCGUGCCACCCCAGAAACGCCCUGCCCGCGUCUCCCGCUCCGUGCCCACCAGGGCGGGUUGCGCGCUGCCCUCCCAGCUCCCCUGUGCCGCUGACGCACCGUGAGUCUGAGGGGCGCCACUCGAGCCCCUCGCGGGCCGUAGGGACGUGGCGAGCUUCGCGGUGCCCUCGGUUGCCGCUAGGAUCCGGCGCUGCAGCGCUGCCCGGCCGCGUAACGCCGCUCUGAGCCCGCCGGGUUUCGGCUCGUGGAGCUGCAGGGCUCCGGGCUGCUGACACCAUGGGUGAGACGAAGCUUCCCAGAUCGGAAUUGCUUGGGUUUAUGUAUUUUUUUUUUAAGUGAUCUUGCUUGGUUUAAGGAUGUAAUUAACUUAACUCUGCAGAGAGAAGCUGAUUUUGGAGAGAAGUAAAUAGAAGGACAGCCCCGAGCUCUGACUGUGUCCGACACCUGAUUUACACAAGUGUUUUUUUUCCCCUUUGAGGCCUGUCAGACUCCCAUGUCACCUUCACAGAGGGGGCUUUCGGUAGCAUCAUGCUCACAGAGUGUCCUCCACCGAGGGCUCUCAAAUCACAAACGCGACACACAAAGCCUGCAGUAAGCCUCGUCUCAGAGAGGAAGAGACUGAGGCAGAGACAGAACUUGCUCAGGGUCCCAGAGGUGUUCCCUAUAACCUCUUCAUUGAAGAGCUUUUUACUGUACACAAGGACACCUGGAGGAUGUCUCAGCGUUGCUGUGCUACAAAGAAGGAUGGUGAGGAGAACCUGGAGACCUAUUGCCAUCAAUGAUCUCUACAGCUCCUGCUGCUAAGGGCUGCCUCCUUUUCUUACGCGUGCUCAUUUAUAGAUAGCCCUGACUCCGCUGCUUGGAGAACGCUUCCAUUUCUCCUUGCGCUUGGUGUACGUGAUGUUCCGCAGUGGAGAGCAGAUCUCUGUACCUGGUUUGGCUCCUGUGGAAAUGGGCAGUGGAAGACCGAGAGGCGAGAGGUGGAAUAGCAUCUGGGUGAUCUCCUGUCCCCGGCUCCGUGCUCCAGUUACAGCUGCUCUGAAAGGCCAGGAGACGCCCCUGGACUUAGCAGCGUAACGCUGAAGCUCAUGCCCGUGUCUCUGCUGGAGAUGAGCGUCCUGUUUGCGAGUCCAAUUACAGCUAAAGGUGGGAAAAAAAGAACAAACACAGAACCAACUGUCUGUGUAAAUAGGAAUUUUCCUCAGUUGCAGGAGCCAGCAGAGGACACUGCUUUGCCUCCUGCUCUGAAAGGGCUGUGUGGUUUUUGUUCCUUUUGCCACCAUCUUGCUGCUCCAUGACCUUCUGGUGGCACCUUUGGCAGGAGAACAGUUCUAUUUUAUCCAUAUCCGCCAGAGAAAUUUGUUUCCCAGGUUGUUUGUUGCUGCUGUAGCAAUACUGCUCCUGUAUAGCUUUACUUAGGAGAGGGAAGAAACAAAACCACAUGACAAACGGGCCCGAUUUAUCACAGCAACAGAAACCUGCAAUUCAGCUCAAUCGCCCCCACAGGCCAGCUUAGACUGCAUCAAUAUUUAAUGCCCUUGAGUGCCGCUGCUUUCGCAGCUCCAGCUUCCCCUCUGCCCCUGCGCUCCUCACCACGUCUGUCACCCCACCAGCCGGGCAGGGCACCCCCGUGCUUCUUCUGCCAAAACUGGGCUCUGUCUCCAGGCUGCCUGGGCAACGUGCUUCGUACCCGAAGGGACACAGCCCCGGCUGGCUGAACACAGCCAAAUUCAGCCCCGUUCCCUGCUUGGCUGGACCACCUGUGCUGCAGAUGUAUGCUCGAGCAACUUCAGCUGAGCUUUCUGGGCAUGCCUGUGGGCUGUGGCAAGGCAAGUGGGAGCAGGGCUGGUCUCAGCUCGGUCUGGUUUGGGGUGACCGCGUUAACCCAGAGAGGUGAUCACGUAAGCCAGAGUUCACCUGGCAGCAGGCUGGAGGUGAAUUCUGUUCUCUUGUCUGUGUCCGUUCCUGUUACUCAGGCAGGAGUAUUUUAUCCCAGAGGGAACCACGGUGAAAUAAAUCCACGGUAAAAUAAAUCACCAGCAAGGCAGGUGGGCUGCACCUGAAAAGAGGAUUACCCGAGCCCGGUCACAUCCCUCCAGCCCGUGAUGAAGGGAGGCCACGUGGACCUCGAUGGUCUCUGACUAGGUGGUGGCAGGCCAGAAGAGAUCUGUCCCCUCCGCACGGCUCGGAGUCACGUCAGGCAGAUCGAUAAGCAGCAGCCUCUGGCUGGAGGUUUCUACUGUGGACCAGGUCACAGUGACUGUGCUCGAGACCUUUCCGGAUUUAAUACUGUCUUCAUGGUUUGAGAUGAAGCUGAUGGUGCAAAUGGCCGUGCUGAGGCUAGGAGCCCGUGCAACUGUCUGGACUGCAACCACGAUGCAACGCAGCAUACCGGCUGUGGAAGUAACUGCAUGUUUUUAAAGGAAAAUACGUAUGAUCUAAGAUUUUUUUUUUCAUCCCCUUGCUUUUUCCACUUGUUCCCAAGCAAGAGGUGGAGGUUCCUCAGACAAAGCUUUGCUUGUGCUGACUGGAGUUAGCUGUUCCACCCUGCCGGAAGCACCCAGCCUGCUUAAGUGCUUGCUUGGCUUCUUACUGACGUCUUGGUUUGUUCCAAACCCAUCUUUAUCUUGAAGCACAUCACCUGAUAAAACAUUUUGCUAUAAAAGCCCAGGCUUUCACAAUGGAGUGAUUCAAAUAAUAAGUCGAAAGCCAGAAGUUACACACUUACUUUCAAAGCAAUGUAAGUUAUAAAAUAUCCUAAUUUACAACUACAGUAUCUAAAUCCUCUUUGUAACAGCACAAUCAAUAGGAUUUUAUUGCAAGUUCACUGGAAAAGAUUCUCAAUAACGUUAGUAAAAUGCACUAAAAUAUGGCCUUGGUCUCUUUCAGUGCUUUGUCUUCGAAUUCAAGUAUUUUCUUUCCUUAAAAACACAUGCAAGUGAACGCACAGUGCAAGGUAUGCACCUGGAUGAGUAACAGAUACUUUUGCCUGUAAAUGGAUUAGCUUCCACCAAUAGUUAAUAGGAUUUCCUUCCACCAAUAAACAGACUUCCAAGUUCUGCAUUCAGGGCAUCGUCAGGAAUGACAUCAUCCUCCACAAACUCAUCUCCAAGCUUCUUCCACCACGGCCAGCGAGCAUACUUCAGCAUAGCGUUGUGGGACUGUUUGGCCUUGGUAGCUACAGGGACUGACCGACUCAUAAAGACAGCAAGAUCUUUUUCUGUGGUCUCUGCUAACCGUGGAGCAUCUG